CCUACGGGAGGCUGCAGUGGGGGAUAUUGCACAAUGGGGGGAACCCUGAUGCAGCGACGCCGCGUGGGUGAAGAAGCGCCUCGGCGCGUAAAGCCCUGUCAGCAGGGAAGAAAAUGACGGUACCUGAAGAAGAAGCCCCGGCUAACUACGUGCCAGCAGCCGCGGUAAUACGUAGGGGGCAAGCGUUAUCCGGAUUUACUGGGUGGAAAGGGGGCGCAGACGGCGAUGCAAGCCAGGAGUGAAAGCCCGGGGCCCAAACCCGGGACUGCUCUUGGAACUGCGUGGCUGGAGUGCAGGAGGGGCAGGCGGAAUUCCUGGUGUAGCGGUGAAAUGCGUAGAUAUCAGGAGGAACACCGGUGGCGAAGGCAGCCUGCUGGGCUGAAACUGACGUUGAGGCCCGAAAGCGUGGGGAGCAAACAGGAUUAGAUACCCUUGUAGUC
rnacentral:rRNA from 1 species